UAACGAUGAAGCUUCUAGCUUGCUAGAGAGUGGAUUAGUGGCGCACGGGUGAGUAAUGCAUAGGUAACAUGCCCUUUAGUCUGGGAUAGCCACUGGAAACGGUGAUUAAUACUAGAUACUCCCUACGGGGGAAAGUUUUUCGCUAAAGGAUUGGCCUAUGUCCUAUCAGCUUGUUGGUGAGGUAAUGGCUCACCAAGGCUAUGACGGGUAUCCGGCCUGAGAGGGUGAUCGGACACACUGGAACUGAGACACGGUCCAGACUCCUACGGGAGGCAGCAGUAGGGAAUAUUGCUCAAUGGGGGAAACCCUGAAGCAGCAACGCCGCGUGGAGGAUGAAGGUUUUAGGAUUGUAAACUCCG
rnacentral:rRNA from 1 species